rnacentral:rRNA from 1 species
UACGUAGGGUGCGGGCGUUGUCCGGAAUUAUUGGGCGUAAAGAGCUCGUAGGCGGUUUGUCGCGUCUGCUGUGAAAACGCGAGGCUCAACCUCGCGCCUGCAGUGGGUACGGGCAGACUAGAGUGCGGUAGGGGAGAUUGGAAUUCCUGGUGUAGCGGUGGAAUGCGCAGAUAUCAGGAGGAACACCGAUGGCGAAGGCAGAUCUCUGGGCCGUAACUGACGCUGAGGAGCGAAAGCGUGGGGAGCGAACAGG